CUCCCAGCAGGUGCUGGCAGCUCCCCAGAUGAGAUGAAACAGCACACAGAAGUCUGUGAUUCCCAACAGGAGGGCCAGGAGUGGAAGACAGGAGGCGGUGGAGAAGCAAGAAGCCCAUAUAUUACAGCGUGGCUCAGUUCCAUGGACCAACUGCAGGACAGGUGUAAACUUGUGGAGGUGAUUUGUGGCAUCGGCGUGGCUCACCCCCAGUUCUCCGAGACAUCCUGAUCAAGUCACAGACACUACGCUGAAGUCAUCCCAGCCUCAGAGCCUUGGUCUUUGCUGCUCCCUCAUCUGGAAUGCUCUGCCUCCCAGACACCCCACGAGCUCCCUCUCCCUUCUUAUCCCAGACCCAUUUCUCCAAGAAAAACCUUCCUUGUUGCCUCACCAUCCACCAUAAGUGUAUAACAAGUCUGUGUUAUCCACUCCCACAGACCUGGGUUGUCUUCUCUCCGGCACUUACUCUGGUUAUUGUUAACUGUUUACAGGACUGUCUGUCACCCCCAUGACACUGUGAGCUCCAUGAGGGCAGAGACCACACUUGUAUUUUUCACUGCUGUGGCCCCGGCCCCUAACCAGGGCCUGGCACACAGCAGGUGCUCAGUAAACAUUGGUUGAAUCAA